rnacentral:lncRNA from 1 species
GUCCCCCAUCCUCAAGGCAAGUAAUAUGCCGCUCUGCUGUCAUCUUAUCGUUUCAUACAUCUAUGAAUAUGAGUAUAUGGGCAUGUCAUGUCUAAAUUAUCAGAGGCAAACUCACACACGAGGAUCACUUUUUUUUAUGUUAGAUCUAGAUAGCUUGAUCAUGUACAUGAUGACUAACCCUCUUCAUGCUUUGCCGCUGUAAUGCUACAGCCUUGUCUUAGUUGUUAGUGGCAAACUCAUCUGCACGAGGGGGUGGUUGGUGCUUGCUGGUGUAAGGAGCCAUUGACUUCAUCACCAUGUUCCAGCGUUGUGUUAUCUGGUUCCGCUAACAGCCUUUGUGCAUUGGCAUGCCAAUCUUACAACCAAGCUCAUGCCAGUCAUCUCCCUGCUGUCAUCAGAGGUCUGUGUCUGUCUCUUCUUUCUUAGGAUCCUUUCCCAAGAUCCCCAAGUGUAUUAAUUCAACGAUUCGAUUCGACUAGUACUGCUAGUAAACGUAUGGGUGUUCAGGUGCACAAACGUUUGUGGCCCAAAAUGCUGACAUUUUUCUGCAAAUUGAUAUUAAGCAUAUGCCGUCACCAUUGAGUGACAAGGUUAUAAUGGAAUAGGC